CUGAAUUCCACAUCAGCUCCACUUUCCGCACGCAAUGCACCACGGGAAGGGAACCAAGGGCUUUACCCGACUCCUGCCGGCGGCCAUGUUGUGUGUGGCGGAAGUUGCAGCGGAGGGGGGUCACGGAUUGGAGAAGAAAUCGGAAGGAAGUGACCGGUGCCUAUCAUGGUUCCCAGUGACUCUCUCUCCGCACAGUCAGGGGAACUGAGUUUGUAACUGACCCGGGACUGUGGAAAUCUUCCAGCAACAUGGCGGCAGCGCCGCUCUAGCUACUUCUCUGCGCGUCUCUAUGAGAGCUGCUGCCCCCAUAGGGUUACACAAUGGAGGAGGAGAGCCUGGCGGCUGCGCUUCACACAUACAGAGCUCAGCUGGAGCAGGUGGAGCUAAGCCUGCGUGCCGGUACCGACCCGACCCAACUGGAGGAUCUCACCCAGCUCCGCAAUGACCUCCAGCAGCUCAUAGAACUCACUGAGUCCAGCCUGCUCUCCGUCCGGAAAUGUAAGCUCUUGUCGUCACUGGAGGGAUCCGCCUCCCUGCCCGCCCCCGAGGAGCCCGCAGCAAUCUCCUCCCAAGAUGAGGAGUACGAGGCUUUCCGAAGGGCAAUCGGUGAGGAGCCCCAGCCUCCAGGGGCCGGUGACGGGGCCUCCACAGGGUCCAAAGACUCAGAAGAGGAGGAGGAGGAGGAGGAGGAGGAAGAAGAUGGCAGCAGUGGGAUGAAGGUGAAGGCUCCCUACUACAGCACGUGGGGGACCCUAGAAUAUCACAAUGCCAUGGUGGUGGGCUCUGAGCAGCUGGAGGAUGGAGAGGCCGGGGUGCGAGUCCUCUACCUGUACCCCACCCAUAAAGCCAUGAAGCCCUGCCCCUUCUUCCUGGAUGGGAAAUGUCGCUUCGACGACAGCUGCAGGUUUUCACAUGGCCAGGUGGUGGCGCUGGCGGAGCUGCAGCCCUUUGCAGAGGCAGAUGUGGCUUCCCUGGCAGUGGGCAGUCCCUGCCUGGCGCAACACAGCGACGGCAUCUGGUACCUGGCGCGAAUCACUGAUAUAGAGAGUGGCUUCUACACGGUGAAGUUUGAUUCGCUGCUGCUCAAGGAGUCUGUGCUAGAGGCCGAUUCCAUUAUCCCCCCCCUGAGGGGCAGCGACAGCUCCUCCUCCUCAGAUGAUGAUGAAGAAGAAGAUGAUGCUGCAGAGGAUUCUGGGUAUGCCAGAGUACUAGGGGCAGGGAGCGCUGGCUCCGCCCACAGUUCGCAGUUCGGCGGUUGGGAGGCGCACACCCGCGGGAUUGGAUCCAAGCUUCUCGCUCGCAUGGGCUACGAGAUUGGGAAAGGCCUGGGGCGCAACGCGGAGGGGAGAGUGGAGCCCAUCCAGGCUGUGCUCCUGCCCAAGGGCAAGUCGUUGGACCAGUGUAUUGAGAUGCAGCAGAGGAAGAAGGCCGGGGGCAAACGUGAGCACAAAGCGGGCAAGAGGCGGCCAAGGGCCACCGGCCGAGGGGGCGGCACCAAGUCUGCCCGUAAUGUCUUUGACUUCCUGAAUGAGAAGUUGGAGGGCAGACCUAGCGGUGCCCAGCCGGGGGAGAGCCGGAGGGCCGCAGAGAGGAAAGGGAAGGAGCUGUACAAUGCCAGCAAGGACAGCAAGAGGGCGCUAAGCGUUCAGGUGGCAGUUACAGCCCAGCGGAUCCAACAGAAGCAGCGAGAGAUCGGCCAUUUACAGGAAGCUCUGGCCCGCAACGUGGGGAGGGACAGUGUGGUCAGUAACCAGCUGGAGCUGCGCUUGUCGGGGGCCCGCCGGGAGCUGGUAAUGCUGCAGCAGGAGGAGCACAGUCUGCAGCGAGAGCAGAGGAAAGCCGACACGCACAAGAAAAUGACCGAGUUCUGACUGUGGCCCCUGGAUGGGAGAGAGCGGAGCGCGCAGCCGCCCAGUCCCCGUGCCAUGGCCCCCACCGAUGCCACCAACGCCGCCAACCCGAGGAACCUCCUGCCGCUCUGCCCGCUGCUGCUGGGGCUCUGCCUGCUACUCGCCAGUCUCUGCACUUUCUGCAGGAGGAGGAAGAAGAGGAGGAUACAGAGGGGGCAGAGUAUGUACCCCAGUGGGGUGGCACUAGUGGAUGUGUCUCUGCUUCGCCAAACCCAACUGCGCUCUCUCAGUAAGUCCGACACCAAACUGCACGAGAUCCAGAGACCCCGACCCGGAUACCCCCGUAAGUGCCCCCCAAUCUC